UGGGGAAUAUUGCACAAUGGGCGCAAGCCUGAUGCAGCCAUGCCGCGUGUAUGAAGAAGGCCUUCGGGUUGUAAAGUACUUUCAGCGGGGAGGAAGGGAGUAAAGUUAAUACCUUUGCUCAUUGACGUUACCCGCAGAAGAAGCACCGGCUAACUCCGUGCCAGCAGCCGCGGUAAUACGGAGGGUGCAAGCGUUAAUCGGAAUUACUGGGCGUAAAGCGCACGCAGGCGGUUUGUUAAGUCAGAUGUGAAAUCCCCGGGCUCAACCUGGGAUCUGCAUCUGAUACUGGCAAGCGUGAGUCUCGUAGAGGGGGGUAGAAUUCCAGGUGUAGCGGUGAAAUGCGUAGAGAUCUGGAGGAAUACCGGUGGCGAAGGCGGCCCCCUGGACGAAGACUGACGCUCAGGUGCGAAAGCGUGGGGAGCAAACAGG
rnacentral:rRNA from 1 species